UCAGGAUGAACGCUGGCGGCGUGCUUAACACAUGGCAAGUCGAACGGACGUUACCCUGGAUGAGGCCCUCGGGCGGAUCCUAAGUAAGUUAGUGGCGGACGGGUGAGUAACGCGUGGGUAACCUGCCUCACAUUGGGGGAUAACGAUUGGAAACGAUCGCUAAUACCGCAUAAGACCACGGCACCGCAUGGUGCUGAGGUAAAAACUCCGGUGAUGUGAGAUGGACCCGCGUCUGAUUAGCCAGUUGGCGGGUAACGGCCCACCAAAGCUACGAUCAGUAGCCGACCUGAGAGGGUGAUCGGCCACAUUGGGACUGAGACACGGCCCAAACUCCUACGGGAGGCAGCAGUGGGGAAUAUUGCACAAUGGAGGAAACUCUGAUGCAGCGAACCGCCGCGUGAGUGAAGAAGUAUCUCGGUAUGUAAAGCUCUAUCAGCAGGAAAGAAAAUGACGGUACCUGACUAAGAAGCCCCGGCUAACUACGUGCCAGCAGCAGC
rnacentral:rRNA from 1 species